UUACAUGGCGGGCGAUGUGAGGGGAUCCCUGAUCCGCCGGUUCGUUUCCUUGCCCGGUAUGCCAACCCGCAUCGCCCGCCACCUCG
rnacentral:antisense_RNA from 1 species